UCAUCUCUGAGGGCUGCCCUGUCUAGGGGAAGGAGGUGCUAGAGCUGGACCGGGUAAGGACCUUCCGAAAUCUUUAGUGACUUACCGUCCAUGAUGUCUAUCAUGCCCAGAGCAGCUCUGGGGGGAUCGUCUGCUCCUGAGAGCCACAGAUGGAAGGAUGUUUUGAACAAGACCAUAGAUAAGAAGUGUUCAUACCUUAAAGGUGCUUCAGGAGUCCCUGGGUGGUGCAAAUAGUUCAUGUUCUCAGCUGCUAACUGAA